ACUCCUACGGGAGGCAGCAGUGGGGAAUAUUGCACAAUGGGGGAAACCCUGAUGCAGCCAUGCCGCGUGUGUGAAGAAGGCCUUGGGUUGUAAAGCACUUUCAGUAGGGAGGAAGGUAGUGUAGUUAACACCUGCAUUAUUUGACGUUACCUACAGAAGAAGCACCGGCUAACUCCGUGCCAGCAGCCGCGGUAAUACGGAGGGUGCGAGCGUUAAUCGGAAUUACUGGGCGUAAAGCGCAUGCAGGCGGCCUGUUAAGUCAGAUGUGAAAGCCCGGGGUCUUAACCUCGGAAUUGCAUUUGAAACUGGCAGGCUAGAGUCUUGUAGAGGGGUUAGAAUUUCAGGUGUAGCGGUGAAAUGCGUAGAGAUCUGAAGGAAUACCAGUGGCGAAGGCGGCCCCCGUGGACAAAGACUGACACUCAGAUGCGAAAGCGUGGGAGCAAACAGGAUUAGAUACCCCGUGGUAGCGACUGA
rnacentral:rRNA from 1 species